UCGCUUCAGAUGGAUAAAUGCCUGUGCACAAAAUACCGUUAUGCUGUGUAAUAGAACUAUGCUUAGCCACAGUAGCUAGCUAUAGCUAACGUUCUCAAUAUGUUGUUCAAAUCUAAUUUUAUUUGUUGGCUAGCAAGGCAAAUAAUUAAAUUUUGUUUACUAGCUAGCAUGCUAUCGCAUGACAUGUUUUAAUCUUUCCUGGUUGUUUGGUCAUGGGUCUUAUUUAAUUUGACAGUUUCAGGAAUAUUUAUUGCAUAAAAUGUAACUACCAAUUAGCCGUUGGCUAAUUUAGUAUCGCCAGGCUAAUGCUGCGUUCAUAACCAAGUGGGAAGGUGGUAUUUAGUAGUUACAUAAAGAAACGUGUCUAUUAUUCAUGUUCUCCGACAUCUCCCACAUGCUGAUCUCUGACGUCACCUACUAAGAAAUAACCUCGAUAACAGCAUUUUUGGCAGUAAAAUGUACAGUGUUUUUCAGCGAGUUCAAAGAGCUUGAAUGCCGCCAACGGGUAAAUACCACCUUCCCACUUGGAUAUGAAUGCAGCAUAAUAGUUUGUUUUGGUUUCAGAAUCCUUGUUGUUGUAUCUAACUAACGUUACUAAUCCGCUGUCCCAUUCAGAUUAGACGGGAAAUGUUAUUAAACAUUAUACAGUGUCUAUUCACAAAGCUGCCUGGGGAGAUUUUGCAGACACUCCGACGUAGUCUAAACAAAAAGAGCCCAGCACGAGAUACAAUGUUUUAAACGUUUGGAACUUAAAGGUCUGACAAAAUCCAAAAAGGUUCAAACCUGGAAGGAACUCUUCCUCGAGUUCUAUACUGACUUGGGUCACUACAUUGAUCACUAAUGGCACCCUGAAUAAAGCCUGGGAUGACCUGAAGGGAUACCUUGACCCCAGGAUGAUCGCCUCUGUCAAAGGAAGAAGAGCUGGAUGGCAUUGAGGCGCAGUUUAAUGGGAAGCAUGGCCCUGUCUAACCACUAGCGCUCAGAGGACCUGCUGGAUAAUGAAACGGAAGCAGGGGGCUUUAAGCAGCGCAAGGUCAUGAGGCCAUGUUUGCCCCUCACCUUCUGCUUCCACACAGGCCUCAGCCAAUACAUGGCCCUUAUUUCACCUUUAUUUAACCAGUUCAUUCCAGUCAUUGGCAGCAGAGAACUGGAAGGAGAGGCGGCCAAAGGAAGAAUUGGUUUUGGAGGUGACCAGAGAGAUAUACCUGCUGGAGCGCGUGCUACAGGAUCAAAUGGCACAAGAUCCAUCUGCAAUUGACAUGUUCAUCACAGGUAUGAUGAGAUAUUAGUUUGUUACUGAGGGAUUCUGUAUUUUACAUUAUAGCCAUUAGCAUAUAUAUGAUUAAAUAUUAUCUGAUGUUGGUUGUGUGAGGUAUCUGCAUUUGUGCACUGGAGCAUCAUUAUGAGAUUAAACAACUGCUUGCUACUUGCCUGUUUGUGUGUGUGACAAGAACUGAGUAACAUGGUGUGACCUACAUGUUGCAAAACUGUAGAUAACAGCCCAGCAGAUGCUUUGUCCUUGUGUUUGUAUGUAACAAUAUUGAGCACAUGGUGUGACUUGCUGUAUCUUACAAAGUUGCGGUUAAGCAGGCAUAGGGAGGGGUGGUCAUCAUGAGGUUUAACUGAGAUGGAAAAAUACUGAACAACACAAUAGCAGGAACUGAGCAACUGUUAUAACCAGGGGGUGAUACCAGAACAGUAGGAAUCUUUUCAUCGACGGAGGGAGGACUCCAAGAAACGCCAAGAGGCGGGGACCUGCCUGAGCGCCUGCGAUAGGCUGAGCAAGUUUAAACCACGCCCAGCCUCUACUGUGAUAGGCCAACAGACGGGUUGGAACAAUGUCUAUCACAGUAUAAGAACACUGUUUAUGUACAUCCUAUCAGUUCCCUGUUCUGCCCUGCGUGGUAUUACAGUGAGCCCGUAUAUACGAAAGUUGCAUUUGCCAUUUAUUACUUAGCUAAUAAAAAAUACAUAGUAUACAAUCGGUGACUCAUUGUUAUAUUUAUCCUGAUACCAGAUUCGAAUUUACGCAACUCUAACAUUACAUAUAUUAUAAAAAUAUUCAGUUAGGUUGUGUGAAGAUGUAUCAUGGCGACAUCUCACUGCAAGUUAAGCAAACUUAAAAGCAACUUUUAUUUGGAUGCUUAACAACUAGGUUAUGUAAGUCCAGGAAUUCUUCAAGGUACAGAGGAUUCUGGCAUUGCUCCCAUUCUUGAGGUUGUGGACUAACUGCAUGAUGGGAGAUGUGAAAUAUAAACUGCUGUAUUGCAACAUAGCACUUCAUUAAUGGAAUAAAAAAAAUGAAAGUCUGGAUUAUUUGCUAAAAUAAUAUUUGUUGAUAUUCAAUGUUAGUUCCUCAACAUAAAUGGAUUUGAACUUAUGCAGUGUCUCACUUACUCAUUAUUUUUCUUCCUCUCACUCUAA